ACAGAUAAAAUGGCUGCUUGAAUCAUUGAAGCAUAAUAACAUGCAAAAGAGGAUCAACAUCUCCAUAUUUCAUUCCUUAUUCACCAUCUGAAUAAAAAGAUAAUAUGUAGGCACUUAUCAAAUCAUUUCAAAAUGAUCUUGUUCAUCAAUACACUCAAUUACAGAUAUGCGUAAUACAUUUUCAGAAAAAAAGAAUAGUUGGUAAAGAAAAUAAUAUCAUCAGUUCAAAUCAAGUCUCAUUGGAGUAGCGAUCAUUUUACAGAAUUUUAUACUAAAUAAUAUAAUAAUAAAGAAAUAAAAAUUUAAA